rnacentral:lncRNA from 1 species
UUGGAGACCUAUUUUCGACUGUGAACGUGCUCAUAGCGGACCUUGAGCCUGUGUAUCGAGGGGUCGUAUCUUAGAGUCUUGUAGACCGUCAAUACCUACACACGUAGGGAGGCUACAAAGGCUUUAGGACAACGUCUUUAACGUGCUUCACCAUACCAGGCUUGCUUUCAUAAUCGUAAUUUAUUUUACUUUUAUUUACCUAUUAUUUGUUUAUUUAGUUUUACUUUACCUUUCCAAUUUUUUAUAUAUAUUAUUAAUGUUAUAAAGAGUUUUGCGUUUGGCUUAUACGGAAAGGGGAAAACUAUAAUUUUUAUAACAUAUACUCCUUGCUUGUUAAGGAGAGGAGUCGCCGUGUACACCAAGAUAGGUCACACUUGGUUUAUUUAUUAAUUUUUUUCUUCUUUGUGACGAGGACCAGCUGGUUGGGCUCAAUUGGUUGUUGUCGUGCCCACGGGGAGUGGCUGGAGCGAUGACGCCAAUUGGUGGCGGUGGUCGCUGCUGUUGCUGGCCGCUAUGGCUGUUUUUUUUUUCUAUCACGACAAGGACUAGCUGUGCUGGAGCAGGUACCCCGUUUGGCUGCUGGGUUAUUACCGUCAUCUGCCGGCUGUUGUCGGCUACUGCUGGUUGUGGCAAUAGCUGCUGUCCCUUUUUUUUUUUUGGGUGCUAGAACUUAGGGUUUUGACUUGUGAUUUCUCUUCCUUUUGUAGUUGCCCAAUCAUCAUGUCAUCUAACGAGGGAAGCCAAUCUUCUGGUUUGCAAGUGCCCAUGUAUUUGUGGGGUAGCUUGAUGGACAUAUUUUAUAUUAU